CAGGCCUAACACAUGCAAGUCGAGCGGAUGAGAAGAGCUUGCUCUUCGAUUCAGCGGCGGACGGGUGAGUAAUGCCUAGGAAUCUGCCUGGUAGUGGGGGACAACGUUUCGAAAGGAACGCUAAUACCGCAUACGUCCUACGGGAGAAAGCAGGGGACCUUCGGGCCUUGCGCUAUCAGAUGAGCCUAGGUCGGAUUAGCUAGUUGGUGAGGUAAUGGCUCACCAAGGCGACGAUCCGUAACUGGUCUGAGAGGAUGAUCAGUCACACUGGAACUGAGACACGGUCCAGACUCCUACGGGAGGCAGCAGUGGGGAAUAUUGGACAAUGGGCGAAAGCCUGAUCCAGCCAUGCCGCGUGUGUGAAGAAGGUCUUCGGAUUGUAAAGCACUUUAAGUUGGGAGGAAGGGCAGUAAGUUAAUACCUUGCUGUUUUGACGUUACCGACAGAAUAAGCACCGGCUAACUCUGUGCCAGCAGCCGCGGUAAUACAGAGGGUGCAAGCGUUAAUCGGAAUUACUGGGCGUAAAGCGCGCGUAGGUGGUUCGUUAAGUUGGAUGUGAAAGCCCCGGGCUCAACCUGGGAACUGCAUCCAAAACUGGCGAGCUAGAGUAUGGUAGAGGGUGGUGGAAUUUCCUGUGUAGCGGUGAAAUGCGUAGAUAUAGGAAGGAACACCAGUGGCGAAGGCGACCACCUGGACUGAUACUGACACUGAGGUG
rnacentral:rRNA from 1 species